rnacentral:rRNA from 1 species
GGGGAAUCUUCCGCAAUGGGCGAAAGCCUGACGGAGCAACGCCGCGUGAGGGAGGAAGGCCUGUGGGUUGUAAACCUCUUUUCUCAGGGAAGAAGUUCUGACGGUACCUGAGGAAUCAGCAUCGGCUAACUCCGUGCCAGCAGCCGCGGUAAGACGGAGGAUGCAAGCGUUAUCCGGAAUUAUUGGGCGUAAAGCGUCCGUAGGCGGUUCAGAAAGUCUGCUGUUAAAGCUCACAGCUCAACUGUGAAUCGGCAGUGGAAACUUCUGGACUAGAGAGUGGUAGGGGUAGAGGGAAUUCCUAGUGUAGCGGUGAAAUGCGUAGAUAUUAGGAAGAACACCAGUGGCGAAGGCGCUCUACUGGGCCAUUACUGACGCUGAUGGACGAAAGCUAGGGGAGCGAAAGGGAUUAGAUACCCCUGUAGUCCUAGCUGUAAACGAUGGACACUAGGUGUUGGCCGUAUCGACCCGGUCAGUAUCGAAGCAAACGCGUUAAGUGUCCC